rnacentral:rRNA from 1 species
AUUGAACGCUGGCGGCAUGCCUUACACAUGCAAGUCGAACGGCAGCGCGGACUUCGGUCUGGCGGCGAGUGGCGAACGGGUGAGUAAUGUAUCGGAACGUACCAUUGAGUGGGGGAUAACGUAGCGAAAGGUACGCUAAUACCGCAGAUUCUCUCCGGAGGAAAGCAGGGGACCGCAAGGCCUUGCGCACUUUGAGCGGCCGAUAUCAGAGUAGCUAGUUGGUGGGGUAAAAGCUCACCAAGGCGACGAUAUGUAGCGGGUCUGAGAGGAUGAUCCGCCACACUGGAACUGAGACACGGUCCAGACUCCUACGGGAGGCAGCAGUGGGGAAUUCUGGACAAUGGGGGCAACCCUGAUCCAGCCAUGCCGCGUGAGUGAAGAAGGCCUUCGGGUUGUAAAGCUCUUUCGGCCGGGAAAAAAUCGCAUGGAUUAAUACUCUGUGUGGAUGAUGGUACCGGAAUAAGAAGCACCGGCUAACUACGUGCCAGCCGCCGCAGUAACAC